UACGUAGGGGGCAAGCGUUGUCCGGAAUUAUUGGGCGUAAAGAGCGCGUAGGCGGUCCGAUAAGUCGGCUGUGAAAGUCAGGGGCUCAACCCUUGAAAGCCGGCCGAUACUGUCGGACUAGAGUCCGGAAGAGGCGAGUGGAAUUCCCGGUGUAGCGGUGAAAUUCGUAGAUAUUCGCAAGAACACCAGUGGCGAAGGCGGCUCACUGGCCCGGUACUGACGCUGAGGCACGAAAGCGUGGGGAGCAAACAGG
rnacentral:rRNA from 1 species